rnacentral:rRNA from 1 species
AGAGUUUGAUCCUGGCUCAGAUUGAACGCUGGCGGAAUGCUUUACACAUGCAAGUCGAGCGGCAGCACGGGGGCAACCCUGGUGGCGAGCGGCGAACGGGUGAGUAAUACAUCGGAGCAUGCCCAGUCGUGGGGGAUAACACUUCGAAAGAAGUGCUAAUACCGCAUACGUCCUGAGGGAGAAAGCGGGGGAUCGCAAGACCUCGCGCGAUUGGAGUGGCCGAUGUCAGAUUAGCUAGUUGGUGGGGUAAAGGCCUACCAAGGCAACGAUCUGUAGCUGGUCUGAGAGGAUGAUCAGCCACACUGGGACUGAGACACGGCCCAGACUCCUACGGGAGGCAGCAGUGGGGAAUUUUGGACAAUGGGGGCAACCCUGAUCCAGCCAUUCCGCGUGAGUGAAGAAGGCCUUCGGGUUGUAAAGCUCUUUCGGCAGGAACGAAACGGUGAGCUCUAACAUAGCUUGCUAAUGACGGUACCUGAAGAAGAAGCACCGGCUAACUACGUGCCAGCAGCCGCGGUAAUACGUAGGGUGCGAGCGUUAAUCGGAAUUACUGGGCGUAAAGCGUGCGCAGGCGGUUGUGUAAGACAGGUGUGAAAUCCCCGGGCUUAACCUGGGAACUGCGCUUGUGACUGCACAGCUAGAGUAUGGCAGAGGGGGGUGGAAUUCCACGUGUAGCAGUGAAAUGCGUAG